rnacentral:lncRNA from 1 species
CAGGGGCUGGGCCCGAGGGACCCCGAGGUGCUGCCAGCCUCACCAGGCUGCGAUUCUGUGAAUAAGUGAUAGAAAGUAUCCAGUGCAGAAUACCAAAGAGGUCCAUGGAGUGUGGAGAAACAUGAAGAGCUUGUCUUUGGACAGCCUGGAUCCAGGGUCCCUCAGUCCUGCUGAAACAAACUGGAAAUGUGAGGGCUGUUUGGGAUAGGGACAACUUCCCGACAUUGUGCAUUUCCAGACCCAGGGAAAGAAGCAGAAAUCAGAACUUUCUGAAGUGACUGAUCUGCUCUGACAAUGUGCAGUAUAGACUGUUGCUGGCACUCACAGAAAGAAGUUUUUUUCUGGCCUCCGAUGAGGUUUAGAGAGGAGUGGUUGUGGCCCAAAUCUGCAGUCAGAGCAAUCCUGGUUGACAUUUAUCUCCAUGACCUCCAUCUUCUCUGGGUGGGCACAGAGCUAAAGGCUGAAGCUGAAGCUACUGCUGAAGUGGAUUUGACUCAUUGA